rnacentral:rRNA from 1 species
AUACCGAGGGUGCAAGCGUUAAUCGGAAUUACUGGGCGUAAAGCGCGCGUAGGUGGUUUGUUAAGUUGGAUGUGAAAGCCCCGGGCUCAACCUGGGAACUGCAUCCAAAACUGGCAAGCUAGAGUACGGUAGAGGGUGGUGGAAUUUCCUGUGUAGCGGUGAAAUGCGUAGAUAUAGGAAGGAACACCAGUGGCGAAGGCGACCACCUGGACUGAUACUGACACUGAGGUGCGAAAGCGUGGGGAGCAAACAGGAUUAGAUACCCGAGUAGUCC